GUAAGAUUUUGAUAUGAUAUUAACCCGGGUCAUGUUAAGGCUAAGGUCUCUCUCCAGAAAUCCAAAGUGACACAACAUGACUGUCUGGUCUAUCUUUUCUUAGGUAAAUGAACUUUUUUUGUGUAGCUCAGCUCUACUUGGCGAACCAAGAAAAGUUCCACAAAGAAGUUGGCCAACAAUACUGGAAAGCAAUAGCGGAGCUCAUCCCUCGUGAGGUACCUAAUAUUGAGAAGAAGAGAGGGAGAAAAGAUCCUGACAAGAAGCCUUCCAUUGUGGUCGUUCAGGGUCCAAGGCCUAGGAAACCCACUGACCUCACACGAAUGAGGCAAAUGUUUAUAAAGCUUAAACAUAAGCGCCACAACUUCGUAUGAUGCAUUCCCCACGCUAACCUGCCAAAGAUGGCAAGGAUGAAAAGGACGGAAAUGAUGCAAAGGAUGAGAAGAAGGAUGCGAAGAACGAGAAAAGUAAUACACCAACUGAUCAAGCUGAGAGUGUGCCUGAUUCAUCACCCUCAAAAGAUGUAGCAGCAGCAGGGAAUUCACCCAUAUCACCAUCUAAAAGAGUUUCACCUGCAUCAGUUGAGGGUGAAGAGGCUGAUAGACUAGAGCCUGCAAUCGCUCAGGUUUUCUUCUGAUGAGUUGUGAGCAUCUUGAUUCAAUCUGAAGAAAAUUAGUGGCAGUUGAACAUUGACAUUCGGAAUUCAGUUCGUUGUACCCUCGCUAGGCUCUACCCUCUUUCAAGGAGAAUCUAUAAUCAAAUGAUUGAGUAAGCAGCUAUGUUAUUUAAUAAUAAAAUACCAGAUGGAAUAGCUGAAACAAAAAUUUCCAGCUUUUUUCUUCA